ACUGGGACUGAGACACGGCCCAGACUCCUACGGGAGGCAGCAGUGGGGAAUUUUCCACAAUGGGCGAAAGCCUGAUGGAGCAAUACCGCGUGAGGGAUGAAGGAUCGUGGUCUGUAAACCUCUUUUCUUAAGGAAGAAUUCAUGACGGUACUUAAGGAAUAAGCACCGGCUAACUCCGUGCCAGCAGCCGCGGUAAUACGGGGGGUGCAAGCGUUGUCCGGAAUGAUUGGGCGUAAAGCAUCUGUAGGUGGUUUUUAAAGUCGACUGUUAAAGCCCAGGGCUUAACUUUGGAGAAGCGGUCGAGUACUUAAGGACUUGAGUUUGGUAGGGGUAGAGGGAAUUCCUAGUGGAGCGGUGAAAUGCACAGAGAUUAGGAAGAACACCGAGGGCGAAAGCACUCUACUGGGCCACAACUGACACUGAGAGAUGAGAGUCGGGGUAGCGAAAAGGAUUAGAUACCCUUGUAGUCCCGACUGUAAACGAUGGAUACUAAGUGCUGGCAAAACCAGUGCUGUAGCUAACGCGUUAAGUAUCCCGCCUGGGGAGUAUGCUCGCAAGAGUGAAACUCAAAGGAAUUGACGGGAACUGGCACAAGCGGUGGAUUAUGCGGUUUAAUUCGAUGAUACACGAAGAACCUUACCAGGGAUUGACAUGCUCAUAACUUCCGAGAGAUUGGAAGGUGCCUGUUUUUUGAAAACGGGAGUUGAGACACAGGUGGUGCGUGGCUGUCGUCAGCUCGUGCCGUGAGGUGUCGAGUUAAGUCUUUAAACGAGCGCAACCCUUAUCUUUUGUUACCACUUUUUCAAAAAGAACUCAAAAGAGACUGCCGGUGUAAACCGGAGGAAGGAGAGGAUGACGUCAAGUCAGCAUGCCCCUUACAUCCUGCUACACGCGUAAUACAAUGGCAAAGACAAUAGGACGCGAACUCGCGAGGGGGAGCAAAUCUAGUAAACUUUGUCUCAGUUCGGAUUGAAGUCUGCAACUCGACUUCAUGAAGCCGGAAUCGCUAGUAAUCGCCGGUCAGCUAUACGGCGGUGAAUACGUUCCCCAGUUUUGUACACACCGCCCGUCACAUGCUGGGAGCUGUGUUGUCCCAAAGACAGGCUGCCAACCUUUAAGGAAGCGAAUGUCAACGGUUGAUUCAGUGACUAAUAUGAAGUCGUAACAAGGUAUCCGUACGGGAACGUGUGGAUG
rnacentral:rRNA from 1 species